rnacentral:rRNA from 1 species
GAUGAACGCUGGCGGCGUGCCUAAUACAUGCAAGUCGAGCGAACAGACGAGGAGCUUGCUCCUCUGACGUUAGCGGCGGACGGGUGAGUAGCACGUGGAUAACCUACCUAUAAGACUGGGAUAACUUCGGGAAACCGGAGCUAAUACCGGAUAAUAUAUUGAACCGCAUGGUUCAAUAGUGAAAGACGGUUUUGCUGUCACUUAUAGAUGGAUCCGCGCCGCAUUAGCUAGUUGGUAAGGUAACGGCUUACCAAGGCAACGAUGCGUAGCCGACCUGAGAGGGUGACCGGCCACACUGGAACUGAGACACGGUCCAGACUCCUACGGGAGGCAGCAGCAGGGAAUUUUCCGCAAUGGGCGAAAGCCUGACGGAGCAACGCCGCGUGAGUGAUGAAGGUCUUCGGAUCGUAAAACUCUGUUAUUAGGGAAGAACAAAUGUGUAAGUAACUAUGCACGUCUUGACGGUACCUAAUCAGAAAGCCACGGCUAACUACGUG